UACGGAGGGUGCAAGCGUUAAUCGGAAUUACUGGGCGUAAAGCGCACGCAGGUGGCUGAGUCAGUCGAUUGUGAAAGCCCUGGGCUUAACCUGGGAAUUGCAGUCGAUACUACUCGGCUCGAGUAUGGGAGAGGGCAGUGGAAUUCCCGGUGUAGCGGUGAAAUGCGUAGAUAUCGGGAGGAACAUCAGUGGCGAAGGCGGCUGCCUGGCCCAAUACUGACACUCAGGUGCGACAGCGUGGGGAGCAAACAGGG
rnacentral:rRNA from 1 species